rnacentral:rRNA from 1 species
AGAGUUUGAUCCUGGCUCAGAUUGAACGCUGGCGGCAUGCUUUACACAUGCAAGUCGAACGGCAGCGCGGGGCAACCUGGCGGCGAGUGGCGAACGGGUGAGUAAUAUAUCGGAACGUACCCAGAAGUGGGGGAUAACGUAGCGAAAGUUACGCUAAUACCGCAUACGAUCUACGGAUGAAAGUGGGGGACCUUCGGGCCUCAUGCUUGUGGAGCGGCCGAUAUCUGAUUAGCUAGUAGGUAGGGUAAAGGCCUACCUAGGCGACGAUCAGUAGCUGGUCUGAGAGGACGACCAGCCACACUGGGACUGAGACACGGCCCAGACUCCUACGGGAGGCAGCAGUGGGGAAUUUUGGACAAUGGGCGCAAGCCUGAUCCAGCAAUGCCGCGUGAGUGAAGAAGGCCUUCGGGUUGUAAAGCUCUUUUGUCAGGGAAGAAACGGCUGAAGAUAAUACCUUUGGCUAAUGACGGUACCUGAAGAAUAAGCACCGGCUAACUACGUGCCAGCAGCCGCGGUAAUACGUAGGGUGCAAGCGUUAAUCGGAAUUACUGGGCGUAAAGCGUGCGCAGGCGGUUUUGUAAGUCUGACGUGAAAUCCCCGGGCUUAACCUGGGAAUUGCGUUGGAGACUGCAAGGCUAGAGUCUGGCAGAGGGGGGUAGAAUUCCACGUGUAGCAGUGAAAUGCGUAGAGAUGUGGAGGAACACCGAUGGCGAAGGCAGCCCCCUGGGUCAAGACUGACGCUCAUGCACGAAAGCGUGGGGAGCAAACAGGAUUAGAUACCCUGGUAGUCCACGCCCUAAACGAUGUCUACUAGUUGUCGGGUUUUAAUUAACUUGGUAACGCAGCUAACGCGUGAAGUAGACCGCCUGGGGAGUACGGUCGCAAGAUUAAAACUCAAAGGAAUUGACGGGGACCCGCACAAGCGGUGGAUGAUGUGGAUUAAUUCGAUGCAACGCGAAAAACCUACCUACCCUUGACAUGUCAGGAAGUCUGGAGAGAUUUGGAUGUGCCCGAAAGGGAGCCUGAACACAGGUGCUGCAUGGCUGUCGUCAGCUCGUGUCGUGAGAUGUUGGGUUAAGUCCCGCAACGAGCGCAACCCUUGUCAUUAGUUGCUACGAAAGGGCACUCUAAUGAGACUGCCGGUGACAAACCGGAGGAAGGUGGGGAUGACGUCAAGUCCUCAUGGCCCUUAUGGGUAGGGCUUCACACGUCAUACAAUGGUGCAUACAGAGGGCCGCCAACCCGCGAGGGGGAGCUAAUCCCAGAAAGUGCAUCGUAGUCCGGAUCGCAGUCUGCAACUCGACUGCGUGAAGUUGGAAUCGCUAGUAAUCGCGGAUCAGCAUGUCGCGGUGAAUACGUUCCCGGGUCUUGUACACACCGCCCGUCACACCAUGGGAGCGGGUUUUACCAGAAGUAGGUAGCUUAACCGCAAGGGGGGCGCUUACCACGGUAGGAUUCGUGACUGGGGUGAAGUCGUAACAAGGUAACC